UAUAGCUCCAGAUACAAUAUAAUAAAUAUUUGUAGAAACAUUUAUUGAACUUGUAAAGUGUCAUAUUAUAAGCACGUGAGGACGAGCUCAAUAUUUGUCCCUCCCAUCGUGCUGUCGUCAUCAGUGACACAGCACAGUUAAGCGCGCGGACUUUGUGUCAUUUGUACAUUUGGUUCACGGCGGUUCUUUGGAUUCAUAACUAGCGUUACUUUUUUUGUAAACAGAAAUUAUGUUCUUCAUCCUAAACAGACAAAGGAAAUCGGUCAUCAUGUGUAAUCAAGCUGGUAGAACUUAUAUUCUUUAACCCGCUGAGUGACAUUAGACACAAUCUGUGACGUGAAGUUUGAGUUGCUGCGGCCACUGCUUCUUAUCCAGAAACAUCUGCGUGUU